GUAAUUCCAGCUCCAAUAGCGUAUAUUAAAGUUGUUGCAGUUAAAAAGCUCGUAGUUGGAUUUCGGGACGGGCCGGCCGGUCCGCCGCAAGGCGUGUUACUGACCGGGCUGUUCUUCUUCGCAAAGACUGCAUGUGCUCUUAACUGAGUGUGUGUAGGACUUGUGACGUUUACUUUGAAAAAAUUAGAGUGUUCAAAGCAGGCCAGCGCUUGAAUACAUAAGCAUGGAAUAAUGGAAUAGGACUUUGGUUCUAUUUUGUUGGUUUCUGGAACCGAAGUAAUGAUUAAAAGGGACAGUUGGGGGCAUUCGUAUUUCGUUGUCAGAGGUGAAAUUCUUGGAUUUACGAAAGACGAACUACUGCGAAAGCAUUUGCCAAGAAUGUUUUCAUUAAUCAAGAACGAAAGUUAGAGGAUCGAAGACGAUCAGAUACCGUCCUAGUUCUAACCAUAAACGAUGCCGACUAGGGAUCAGAGAGUGUUAUUGGAUGACCUCUUUGGCACCUUAUGGGAAACCAAAGUUUUUGGGUUCCGGGGGAAGUAUGGUUGCAAAGCUGAAACUUAAAGGAAUUGACGGAAGGGCACCACCAGGAGUGGAGCCUGCGGCUUAAUUUGAU
rnacentral:rRNA from 1 species